GCAUAUCCUGCAUAGAAACCUCAUUUAUCUAGCCACAAUUGCUGAUGCGACGCCACCCAGCACGCAGAAGACUGUAGACUGACUGCGCGUACCUGGACACGAGCAGUGAUGCUUUUAUCUGUAGAAAUACUUAGAGUCCCACUUUGAGAGCUGAGAAGCUGUGGUCUUGAAAGGCAGUAUACUUCUGAAAAUAGCCUGGUUGUCAGGACAGCGCUGCCAGAGAUGCCUUUGGAGAGAGAACUCUUGCAGUCUGAUUGAAGUAGAGACUGUUUCAUGACUAAGGUUGUGUAACAAUAGGGUAAGCGUUUAGCCAGGUAACUUCUUUCUACCUCCAGCAUGACAAAAUUGGUCAUACGUUGCCACAUAUAUAAGCAGUAGACUCUUGUAUCGUAGGAGUUGUGCUUAAUAAACUGAAGAUGUUCUUUGUAAAUUAUAGUAUAUUCUGGAUUAAUGUAACAUGUUAACAAAGGAGCAGCUCAGCGACUUAGUGAAACAGAAAUGUCAACUUUUCUAGGAAGGAUGGGACUGUUGCGUAACUUAGAGCAGUUAAGUGCAAGGGAGAAAUCAAGCCUAUACACUCAGUGAGAGAAGGCUGUAUGCUUGCCCUAGUUCUAUCAAGCCUUUUCCUUUUUGCUUGAAAUGCUCUGUACUGCAGACUGUAAACAAGUAAAUUCUUGCAUCAUCAAAAUG